AUCAAUGAGAAUGCAGGUGUUUCUGAUGU
rnacentral:piRNA from 1 species